rnacentral:lncRNA from 1 species
GUGAAUCUGCAGAAACCCAACACCCACACUUAGAGACACCACCAUCUCUCUCUGGCUAGGCAAUUAUCUAGUACAUAUUGAUAUUAUUAUUGUUAUUUGCAUUCAUCAGAUCAAUCAGAAAUAAGUAGUGUUUGCGCCGAGCAGCACAAAUUCCACCCCUCCCACCAGCUCUUUUCACGCAAAGAAACCCUCCUCAGAGACACCAACAUUGACAUACCACCGAGGAACCUCCUCACCAGCUACCGCCCCCAAGAAUUUUCCUUUUC